GUGUUAAGUACUGAGGCAGCACAUAUAUACCACAAUGGGUAUAAUACAGAGAAGAUUAGCGCGGCCUCUGUACCCCGAGGACAUUUAAAAUUAUGAAGUGAUCUGUUUCUUC
ensembl:snRNA U6 U6 spliceosomal RNA